CUGCUAAUACCGCAUAAGCCCACGGGUCGGCAUCGACCAGAGGGAAAAGGAGCAAUCCGCCUUGAGAUGGCCUCGCGUCCGAUUAGCUAGUUGGUGAGGUAACGGCCCACCAAGGCGACGAUCGGUAGCCGGACUGAGAGGUUGAACGGCCACAUUGGGACUGAGACACGGCCCAGACUCCUACGGGAGGCAGCAGUGGGGAAUAUUGCACAAUGGGGGAAACCCUGAUGCAGCGACGCCGCGUGGAGGAAGAAGGUCUUCGGAUUGUAAACUCCUGUCGUUGAGGAAGAUAAUGACGGUACUCAACAAGGAAAUGACGGCUAACUACGUGCCAGCAGCCGCGGUAAAACGUAGGUCACAAGCGUUGUCCGGAAUUACUGGGUGUAAAGGGAGCGCAGGCGGGAAGACAAGUUGGAAGUGAAAUCCAUGGGCUUAACCCAUGAACUGCUUUCAAAACUGUUUUUCUUGUGUAGUGCAGAGGUAGGCGGAAUUCCCGGUGUAGCGGUGGAAUGCGUAGAUAUCGGGAGGAACACCAGUGGCGAAGGCGGCCUACUGGGCACCAACUGACGCUGAGGCUCGAGAGUGUGGGUAGCAAACAGGAUUAGAUACCCUGGUAGUCCACACCGUAAACGAUGAUUACUAGGUGUUGGAGGAUUGACCCCUUCAGUGCCGCAGUUAACACAAUAAGUAAUCCACCUGGGGAGUACGACCGCAAGGUUGAAACUCAAAGGAAUUGACGGGGGCCCGCACAAGCAGUGGAGUAUGUGGUUUAAUUCGACGCAACGCGAAGAACCUUACCAAGUCUUGACAUCCGUUGACCGCUGUAGAAAUACAGUUUUCCUUCGGGACAGCGAGACAGGUGGUGCAUGGUUGUCGUCAGCUCGUGUCGUGAGAUGUUGGGUUAAGUCCCGCAACGAGCGCAACCCUUAUGGACAGUUACUACGCAAGAGGACUCUGGCCAGACUGCCGUUGACAAAACGGAGGGAGGUGGGGAUGACGUCAAAUCAUCAUGCCCUUUAUGACUUGGGCUACACACGUACUACAAUGGCGUUAAACAAAGAGAAGCAAGACCGCGAGGUGGAGCAAAACUCAGAAACAACGUCCCAGUUCGGACUGCAGGCUGCAACUCGCCUGCACGAAGUCGGAAUUGCUAGUAAUCGUGGAUCAGCAUGCCACGGUGAAUACGUUCCCGGGCCUUGUACACACCGCCCGUCCCACCAUGAGAGCCGGGGGGACCCGAAGUCGGUAGUCUAACCGCAAGGAGGACGCCGCCGAAGGUAAAACUGGUGAUUGGGGUGAAGUCGUAACAAGGU
rnacentral:rRNA from 1 species